CAGCAAAACCAGGGUGAAAGGCUCUCUGGAGAGUUGCUCAUCCCCACACAUCAGCCUGCCUGGAUCUCUGCUCUGGAUGAUCCAAAGACCAGGCCGCAUCCAAGGUUAUUAGCUCAACUACCAAGACAGGGACAAAGUGCUCUGGUGGCACCGGGAGGGACUGAGUUGGCUGCAGAACUGGAGAAAUCAUAGAAGAGACUCCAUUUGAGCCAAGGCUUGAAGGAGAAGAUAAGGGUUGAUUUCUUCAAGCAGAGAAGAAGGCACAUUGUAGGCAGAGGGAAGAGCUUGUACAAAGGUAUGAAGAAACAAAAUAGCGAGGUGUGUAGGUAAAAAAAUCAAUCAAUCACCUGUGGGACGGAGUGAGCGUUUGUCAUGUGUGUGAGUGUGUGUGUUUAGUUCCAUGUCAUGUGUCGAUUCGGGGGCUGAAGGUUUAUAGGUGUGUGGGGGUUAGAGUGUCGGGAGCAUGGAUGGGGAGGGGGCCACACUGUCUCACCAGCUCUGGGAUUCAGAAAUACACCUGUGGCUGCAGUGUGUGCUCUGAGCUGCCAGGAAGAGGUGCUGCUUGAGGGCAAGGAGGGGUCGGUGGUCAGUAAGAUAGCAAGUGAGCAGAGGCCCCUGUGUUGGGCAGUUAGGAGCCUCAGGGGGGAUUCACAGGGGGAUUGACAGCAAAACAAAUCCUGCAGGGGAUGAAGGGACAAGCAGGAUGUGGCAAUUAGACAGAGAGCGGAGGCUCCUGGCUGGUCUUCAGGGCAGGACCAGAAGCUCCAGCAGUGCCCAGGUCAGCUCUGGGCCAAUGAAGUACAAGGUGCAUGUUGGUUUUCUGUUUUCUAGGCCACUUCUGCACCUGCCAGGAGGAAGCGGAGAGAGGCACAUAUGGGGGCACACUGACCACAUCCUGUGUGUAUUGCCCAGGAUGGGAAUCUCACAAAAAAUGGUUGUGUCGUGGGAAUGACUGGGAUUCCUGCAAAAUCCUUGUUAAAACCACCGGGUCAGAACAACUGGUGAAGAGGGGCAGAGUGUCGAUCCAGGACAAUCACAGCCGACACACAUUCACCAUGACCUUGGAGAACCUCCAGUGGGACGAUGAAAACACCUACUGGUGUGGGAUUGAGCGGACCAGCACUGAUAUAGGGUACAAAUUUUCAGUGAUUGUCGAACCAGUGACCAUGCAAUGUCACUAUGGCCCAACAUGGGAGACCUAUGUGAGGUCCUGGUGUCCAGAUGCUGAUUUGAGUAGCUGCACCAUCGUUGUUCAAACCGCUGGAUCAGAGCUGAAGAAGAACCUUGUGUCCAUCAAUCAGAAAAUGCACACAUUCUCCAUGACCAUAUGGGGGGAGUAAAACAAUUUUUGAGAAAAAUGACCUGUUGUGUUUCUGAGUUGCUCCCAGGCGUUUUACAGAAUGGCAUCCCUGUUUACACGCGAAAUCUGAAAAUUCAGAGAAGGACCCAAGCUUAGAAUUCUUCCAUAAGUUCCUUCUUUGCUUUUUCUGGGGCACCUUUUAAAUUAACCACUUGGAUUUCAUUCUGUGAAAAAUCAGUGACCUCUUCCCCGACCCCCUUGUAAGUCACAGGGGCUCUCAGUCUCUUGCUCUCAGUCUCCUGCUUGUUCGUGGUCCAGGAUGGGGGACUGCCCUUCCUCAGGCUCUCCCCUGGAUCUGUAAACAAUAAAUGUUGUGACUCUGC